CUAAGGAUUAAAUAUAAAAUUAAGAUAUUUGGCGGCUAUUUAAAAUUAAAGGUAUUUGCUAGUUAUCGAUUUACCUCGUUUUUUUUUAUUUCUUUGAUUUUUGUAUACCGUCAUUUAGAUAAUUUUUAUAAAAUUAAUUGUGUUUAAGGUGUUAAAAUAUUAGAUCAAGGUGCAGAUAUAAAGAGGAUUAAGUUAAUAACAAUAAAUUAUUAUUAUACAAGCAUAAAAUAAUAAUUUAAGAAAAGGUGGAUUUAAUUGUAAUAAAAUAGAUUUGAAAAAUUUUUGUGGUGUACACAUCGCCC
rnacentral:rRNA from 1 species